GCGUGUAAGCUAUCUGCAUUGGCCCUGUUGCGCUUCAUUUCGGUAGAACAUUAUCGCACGCGGAUCUCACUUUGCUGUGGUCUCAGACGGACUUUCCGUUCUUAAGGAAUGGAAAGAACAAUAAAGCACGUUACAGACAUUUGAAUUUAGUUGACAACAGCCAUACGUCCCUUAGGAUGGGACUGCGUUUGCGUAACCUUCUCCGAGCAACCCGCUAAACACUGCGCAUCCUGACGGAUUAAGUUUUUACUACUGCAAGUGGGAGCUUUUUGAGAUGCGGCGCGGCGGCCUGCCGCGGGAUGGAUGAGGAGUGGCUGGUGGUGGCCGCGUGUGUCGCCGUGGCGUCGCUCACCGUGCUGGCCGUGGUCGCCUGCUACGUGCGCGUCCUCUCCCAGCUGUGCUGCUCCACGAGGGACGUCCGCUGCAUAGGCUGGUGCUAAAACUGGAAAGCCUUUCCUGAGGAGGGCAUCGGGUGUUGGAAACGUCGAAGCGCAGCGCGGAGUUGGUGCGGCCAGGAUGGCACCGCCUCACCGCCAGACAACGGCAUCGCACCCAAUUCGCCGGCUGGAACAACUCUGGACAGGAAGAAGCCCUCCAGCGUUUCGGCGAUGAACUCCAGACCGCGCGUGCGCAACUAUGCGACGCUUUCACGGUGCAGUGUGCGUAAUGAGACUGUGGACCCUAUAGAUGGGACUCGUUUCUCAUAGGACGCUCAGUUCUGAAGAGUCCUUGUCCGACAGCGCACCUGCAGCAAUGGUGAAAGCCCAGGACGACGGAACUCUAUAAGUGCCUAUAUACACGCUCCUUAUGCCGUGUGCUAAAGAAGAACGCAUAUCAGCUGUGUAUUUAAGCGUACAGCAGUAUUAAACACAGAGCUAUCAUAGCAUCAAGUCUUGAAAGAGAGAGUGCAGUUCUUUUUUUGUUUGGACCGUGGUAGUGGGCAACAAGGAAAGAAGAAAGCUGUGCUACUGUGAAAAGUACUGAAUGAUGAGACGGCAGGAUAGGGAACAAAACUCAUUCGAAAAUAUUCUCAGAGGACGAUCUUCGUCUCAAACCUAUUUGAGAAUGAGCGACUGUAAUGACCGAUUCGUAGUAAACAUUAAAGUCGCUAUCUUGAUUUCUCGAGGCCGAGUCGAAAAAACGAAGUUCAUGUACGUUACGGGUAAAAAUCCGUUCACUGUCAGUAUUGAGCUUUCUUAGGUUUUCAUUUACGACACCUAUUCCGGAGCGAAAAGUCCAUCAUCCGGCUUUCCACGAUCCACAAGAGGUUUUUCGUCAUGACGUGGUUAAGCAGUCACAGCUGCAUAAUGUAUUUUGUGAGAGUCUGAAAUUCGCCACGAGCUACCAACGAAGCAGUUUCAUGCUAUAGACUAUGCAGGUGCGACUGCUUCACACUAUCAUGACGGAAAUCUCGAGUAGAGCCUGGAAACGCUCAUGAUGUAGCUUACACUGCGAAAUACGAAGGGGAAAUAAAAAUGCAAAUAACAGAUAUACAGGCAGCAACUAGACUUUUAUUCACAAAAUAUGAAUCUGUCAUUGUGUCUGUAGUACGUGAAGCAAGUAUGGAUACUUAAAAAAAAAAAACAGAGGCUGUCAGCAUGUUAUUUCCAGCACAACUUCUUUUUAAAGUUCCAAUGGCACGUCGUUACUGUCAUGUUUUAAAGCACCGCAUAUUUAAUGCGGCAAUACGUUUGCUCUACACUCGUCAAGGCGCCUUACGGAGUGUGGCGGCGGGUGUUUGGCGCUCCACCAACAGUUUCCCGCUUUUCCUACUCUGACCGCGAAUGACACGCGAGUAGAGCGAAUGUUCGUAAGCCCCCAUGUAGGCUCGAAUCUCUCCAGUUGUACCUUCAUGGUCUGUCCGCGACGUAUGAGAAACCAAUACGCUCUUUCUCUUUUCUAAGAACUUACGCUUUCAGAAUUUCGUAAACUUCUCAGUGAUACGCAACGCCUCUUUUGUAGCAUCUGCGACUACAAUUUGAUGAACACUUCCGCGACGCUUUCGCACUCACUGAAUGAUCCCGUGAGCAAUCACAUUGCUAUUCUCUCGAUCAGCGAACCCACUGAGAAAAUAUAGGCAACUAUCGGUGGAAUGACGGUUUUGUAAGCUAUUUCCCUCGUGGGUGGAACACAUUUUGGGAGAUUUCUCUCACAGAAUCUCAGUCUGGCGUCUGUCUUUCCUGCAAUUGUAACUAUAAGGUUUGUAUCA
rnacentral:lncRNA from 1 species